rnacentral:rRNA from 1 species
AUUGAACGCUAGCGGGAUGCCUUACACAUGCAAGUCGAACGGCAGCACGGAUUUCGGUCUGGUGGCGAGUGGCGAACGGGUGAGUAAUGUAUCGGAACGUGCCCAGUAGCGGGGGAUAACUACGCGAAAGCGUAGCUAAUACCGCAUACGCCCUACGGGGGAAAGCAGGGGAUCGUAAGACCUUGCACUAUUGGAGCGGCCGAUAUCGGAUUAGCUAGUUGGUGAGGUAAUGGAUCACCAAGGCGACGAUCCGUAGCUGGUUUGAGAGGACGACCAGCCACACUGGGACUGAGACACGGCCCAGGCUCCUACGGGAGGCAGCAGUGGGGAAUUUUGGACAAUGGGGGAAACCCUGAUCCAGCCAUCCCGCGUGUGCGAUGAAGGCCUUCGGGUUGUAAAGCACUUUUGGCAGGAAAGAAAUGGCGUGUGUUAAUACCAUGCGCAGAUGACGGUACCUGCAGAAUAAGCACCGGCUAACUACGUGCCAGCAGCAGCCGCCGUAA